GAUGAACGCUAGCGAUAGGCUUAACACAUGCAAGUCGAGGGGCAGCAUGGUCUUAGCUUGCUAAGACUGAUGGCGACCGGCGCACGGGUGCGUAACGCGUAUGCAACUUGCCUCACAGAGGGGGAUAACCCGUCGAAAGACGGACUAAUACCGCGUACACUCCAGUCUGGGCAUCCAGGCUAGAGGAAAUGAAAUUCGCUGUGAGAUAGGCAUGCGUCCCAUUAGCUAGUUGGUGAGGUAACGGCUCACCAAGGCAACGAUGGGUAGGGGAACUGAGAGGUUGAACCCCCACACUGGUACUGAGACACGGACCAGACUCCUACGGGAGGCAGCAGUGAGGAAUAUUGGUCAAUGGGCGAGAGCCUGAACCAGCCAAGUCGCGUGAAGGAUGACUGUCUUAUGGAUUGUAAACUUCUUUUGUAGGGGAAUAAAGAACAGUACGUGUACUGUAGUGAAUGUACCCUACGAAUAAGC
rnacentral:rRNA from 1 species